rnacentral:rRNA from 1 species
GGGGCUUCGGCCCUGAGUAAAGUGGCGCACGGGUGAGUAACACGUGGGUAACCUGCCUCUGAGAUUGGGAUAACCUGUCGAAAGACGGACUAAUACCGAAUAAGACCACAGUUCCUGAACAGGGUAAAAGGUAGCCUCUACUUGUAAGCUAUCACUUAGAGAUGGGCCUGCGUACCAUUAGCUCGUUGGUGGGUAACGGCCUACCAAGGCAAAGAUGGUUAGCUGGUCUGAGAGGAUGAUCAGCCACACUGGAACUGAGACACGGUCCAGACUCCUACGGGAGGCAGCAGUGGGGAAUAUUGCGCAAUGGGCGAAAGCCUGACGCAGCAACGCCGCGUGAGUGAUGAAGGCCUUCGGGUCGUAAAGCUCUGUCGGAGGGAACGAAUGCUCUUGAGGUUAAUAGCCUUGAGAAGUGACGGUACCCUCAAAGGAAGCACCGGCUAACUCUGUGCCAGCAGCCGCGGUAA